rnacentral:snoRNA from 1 species
CCCGCCACUAUGCCUGUCUUGUGCUGAAGUGACUGGUGUAUUCCAGUGGUGAGCUGAGAGGAAUCCCCAGUUUAGGAAGCAGGGCUCUUCUGUUCCAUGUGAAGAGCUCUGUGCCGAAAGACUGGGAACAUUG